rnacentral:lncRNA from 1 species
CAGAUGGCCGAGGACAGCGACAUCUAGGCUGUCCUGCUGAGAAGGGGCGGCCACAUGGUGAUGCACCCGGGGGACAGGACAGCAGGUGCAAUGCUGGCCAGGAUCUUUGCAGCUGCAGUUCCCUCUGCCUGGAAUGCUGUUCCCCUAAGACCCCAGGUGGCGUCUCCAUCUGGCUGCCAAGUCUCCUCCUGAGCGAUUAUGCGGAUUACCUGAUGAGCACGGCUUCCUCCUUGGAAGCACCUUGUUUUGUCUCCGGUACUAGAACGCCAGCUCCACAAGGGCAGGGCGGUUGUUGAUCUUGUUUUUCUCUGUCCCCUCCUGUCUGACACUAUGCCUGGCAUAUGGUGGAUGUUCCCAGGAGGUUUCUGGAAUGAGCAGAUGUCUGGGGUGAGUGUGGGCAGGUGGCUGCCAUGCAUACAGAGCCUGCCAGGCCCCAGGGGGCUCAGACUCACCCUCUGACUGCACCCUCCCAAUGGGGAUCAGGACUUUGAGGCUUGGAGAGGUGAGGUCACUCACCCGAGGUUGCACAGGCAGUAUGUGGUGGGCCUGGUCUGGAGAGGCCUGGAGGGGACUUGGGGGUGUUGGAGGCUGGGCCACGGCCUGGGGACACACUGCCUUUCCACAUGACAGCUCUCCAUCCGUCCACAGCCCCUGCUUCCCCUGCCAAGUCGCACCUGGGGCUUCCCUGGCCACCUUGGGUCCUCAGGUACAAUUGCACUGCAGGGCACUGGCCUGUGGCACACAGCAGCAGGCCCUGCAGCCCAGAUUCACACAGCAAGCGAAUGAGGCAUAGCUGAAAACCGUGCACAUGGUGGCCUCAGUCCACACAGGGUGGACCCAGCCCUGGACAGGCAUGUGGCUCCACCCAACACUGAGCAGGCAGCCCUGCCUCCUGAGUGCACCUGCCACGCCCAGGGCUUACGUCAGCUGGGGGGACUGGGGCAGCCUCUCUGAAGAAUGCAGCUCAUUGUCAGCGAUGGGGCAGGAUUCCUUCGCAAUGGCCACACCCAGAGGCAAGUCUGUCCAGGCGGACAAGGGCAGCUGAGUGAGGCGCCCUAGGAAGUCUGACCCCCUCUGCCCUGUGAUGGUCCAGCAGCUCCAGGAAAAAGGACCAGAGUACCCAUUGCCACCUGACCUUGCAACCACACACACGUGUGACUUUUAUAAUGAGAGAAAAAAAAAAACAUGUUAUAAAAACAACUUCUGUAUGACUUGCCCAAUGCCAGGAUUAUUCUAAGCAUGGACUCUUUUUUUCAUUAAUUUUAAAAAAAUGUUUGAGAUGAGAUCGUGUUCUGUCACCCAAGCUGGAGGGCAGUGGUGUGAUCAUAGCUCACAGUAUCUUGGAACGUCCAGACUCAAGGGAUCCUCCUGCCUCAGCCUCCUAAAGUUCUGGGAUUACAGGUCUGAGCCACCACACCCGGUUUAAGCUCAUAUCUUGAUCCUCACAACAACUGUCUGAGGAGGAAGUAUUAUCCUUACUCACACUUUGUAGUUGGGGAAACUGAGAUCUGGGUAACUGGCCCACGUUCACACAGCCAGGAAGUGGGGGGCCAGGAUUCACACCCAGUGUGGCCCAGUGUCCUCCUGGCUCCUGAGCAGCACCGCACACAGCUUUCAGAAUCGUGCACACAGCCAUCACUCUGGAACCAUAGGGUAGGGCUGAGAAAACUGGGCAUGAGGGUUGAGUUCCACCUACCCGUCCACACGCCUGGUCCAGAAUUUGCUCAAGAUCUUUAUUGAACAGACGACACCACAUACCAUGAUGGCAAAAAGGCCAGGCUCUGGUUGAAUUUCAAGAACAGGCAAAGGCAGGUGUGGCAGCUCACGCUGGUAAUCCCAGCACUUUGAGAGGCUGGGGUGAAAGGAUCUCCUGAGCCCAGGAGACCAGCCUGGGCAACAUGGAAAAACCCUGCCUCUAAAAAAAUACAAAGAUUAGCUGGGUGUGAUUGUGAGCCCCUUGUAGUCCUAGCUACUUGGGAGGCUGAGGUGGGAGGAUCACUUGAGCUGGGGAGGUUGAGGCUGCAGUGAGCAGUGAUGGCACCACUGCACUCCAGCCUUGGCAACAGAGUGAGACCCCAUCUCAAAAAAUAAAGAAAUAUAUACAUACAUAUAUAAAUAAAUAAAUGCUGGCUGGGUCCAGUGGCUCACGCCUGUAAUCCCAGCACUUUGGGAGGCUGAGAUGGGUGGAUCACAAGGUCAGGAGUUCAAGACCAGCCUGGCCAACAUGGUGAAACCCCCUUCUCUACUAAAAAUACAAAAAUUAGCUGGGCAUGGUGGCACACCCCUGUAAUCCCAGCUGCUCUGGAGGUUGAGGCAGGAGAAUCGCU